rnacentral:rRNA from 1 species
ACGCAGUCUAGUUAGCAAUUAUACAGCGAAACUGCGAAUGGCUCAUUAUAUAAGUUAUCGUUUAUUUGAUAGUACCUUACUACUUGGAUAACCGUGGUAAUUCUAGAGCUAAUACAUGCUAAAAAUCCCGACUUACGAAGGGAUGUAUUUAUUAGAUUAAAAACCAAUGCCCUUCGGGGCUCACUGGUGAUUCAUAAUAACUUCUCGAAUCGCAUGGCCUUGCGCCGGCGAUGGUUCAUUCAAAUUUCUUCCCUAUCAACUUUCGAUGCUAGAGUAGUGUUCUAGCAUGGUUACAACGGGUAACGGAGGGUUAGGGCUCGACCCCGGAGAAGGAGCCUGAGAAACGGCUACUACAUCCAAGGAAGGCAGCAGGCGCGCAAAUUACCCAAUCCCGACACGGGGAGGUAGUGACGAUAAAUACUGAUACAGGGCUCUUUUGGGUCUUGUAAUUGGAAUGAGUACAAUUUAAAUCCCUUAACGAGGAACAAUUGGAGGGCAAGUCUGGUGCCAGCAGCCGCGGUAAUUCCAGCUCCAAUAGCGUAUAUUAAAGUUGUUGUGGUUAAAAAGCUCGUAGUAGAACCUUGGGCCUGGCUGGCCGGUCCGCCUCACCGCGUGCACUGGUCCGGCCGGGCCUUUCCCCCUGUGGAACCUCAUGCCCUUCACUGGGUGUGUGGGAAAACAGGACUUUUACUUUGAAAAAAUUAGAGUGCUCCAGGCAGGCCUAUGCUCGAAUACAUUAGCAUGGAAUAAUAGAAUAGGGACGUGUGGUUCUAUUUUUGUUGGUUUCUAGGACCGCCGUAAUGAUUAAUAGGGACAGUCGGGGGCAUCAGUAUUCAAUUGUCAGAGGUGAAAUUCUUGGAAUUUAUUGAAGACUAACUACUGCGAAAGCAUUUUGCCAAGGAUGUUUUCAUUUAUCAGGAACGAAAGUUAAGGGGAUCGAAGACGAUCAGAAUACCGUCGUAGUCUUAACCAUAAACUAUGCCGACUAGGGGAUCGGAAGAAGUUAUUUUUUGACUCGUUCGGACCUUACAAAAAUCAAGUG